rnacentral:Y_RNA from 1 species
GGCUGGUCUGAUGGUAGUGGGUUAUCAGAAUUUAUUAAAAGUCACUAAAGUUGGCACACAAAUCCCCACUGCUAAAUUUGACUGGAAAA